AUUGAACGCUGGCGGCAGGCCUAACACAUGCAAGUCGAGCGGAGCGGCGGACGGGUGAGUAAUGCCUAGGAAUCUGCCUGGUCGUGGGGGAUAACGUCCGGAAACGGGCGCUAAUACCGCAUACUAUCAGAUCAGCCUAGGUCGGAUUAGCUAGUUGGUGGGGUAACGGCAUACCAAGGCGACGAUCCGUAACUGGUCUGAGAGGAUGAUCAGUCACAAUGGAACUGAGACACGGUCCAGGCUCCUACGGGAGGCACCAGUGGGGAAUAUUUGACAAUGGGCGAAAGCCUGAGCCAGCCAUGCCGCGUGUGUGAAGAAGGUCUUCGGAUGGUAAAGCACUUUAAGUUGGGAGGCGUUACCAACAGAAUAAGCACCGGCUAACUUCGUGCCAGCAGCCGCGGUAAUUC
rnacentral:rRNA from 1 species